AAUAGGACUACUUGCAUUUGCAGUCCUAACCAAUGCUUCUUGAUUGCACUGGAUCAUGUUGCAUGUAAUAUCAAGCUUGAUAUUAUAUAACAUUCCAUAAAAUCAAUAAGGCUUAAAAUUUUUCCUUAAUUAUCUUUUACAGAAUUUGUUGACACUAGUAUUACAAGAAUACGGAUGAUCAUUCGCAAUAUAUUUUGAACCACACACACA
rnacentral:lncRNA from 1 species